GAUGAAGAACGCAGCGAAAUGCGAUAAGUAAUGUGAAUUGCAGAAUUCAGUGAAUCAUCGAAUCUUUGAACGCACAUUGCGCCCGCCAGUAUUCUGGCUGGCAUGCCUGUUCGAGCGUCAUUACAACCCUCAGGCCCCCGGGCCUGGCGUUGGGGAUCGGCGGAGCCCCCCGUGGGCACACGCCGUCCCCCAAAUACAGUGGCGGUCCCGCCGCAGCUUCCAUCGCGUAGUAGCUAACACCUCGCGACUGGAGAGCGGCGCGGCCACGCCGUAAAACACCCAACUCUUCUGAAGUUGACCUCGAAUCAGGUAGGAAUACCCGCUGAACUUAAGCAUAUCAAUAAGCGGAGGA
rnacentral:misc_RNA from 1 species